CCUCACUUUCCUUCUUCAAAAUCCCUAUCUUUCCUUCUUCCCACACACUCCAUUUUCCUUCUUCAAAAUCCCUCCCCUCACUAACGACGCACGGCAAAAACCCCAACCUUAACCCCAUUCUUCUCAUCUCCACAUCCUUUCUUCUCGGUGACAGAGACCCACAGUGAGAAGACCCAUAUCGUUGCCGAUAACUACUUUCGAAGAUGGUUGAAAUAUCUACAAUAGAACCUAAUAUAGAAAGAUAUGAAGAUGAAAUAUAGGAGAAGAGAAAAAUCAAUUGAAGAACAUGAAGAUGAAACCAUUUCUGCACAAGCAAGAGUUUUAUCUUGAAGGAGGUGCAAUGGUUUUGGCUGAUGGAGGUGUUGUUUGCAUUGAUGAGUUUGACAAAAUCAGAUCAAAGGAUAGGUAACCUAAAAGACAGAAGACGUUCAAUUCUUUUCUUCUUUCUAUUAAGGUUUGUUGCUGUUUUUUAAAUGAUAUUGUUCUUUGAUCAUUCUCUUGAGUUUUUAGAAAUGUUAUCCAUUAUUGCAGACUGUGCUGAUUAAAUGACAUUACUUAUACAUUUUGUUUGUGAUCCAAGUUGCACCUCUUCUGGCUAGAUCCAAUUUGGUCAUUACCAGGAAUAUAGAUUGGGCAACCAAACUCCUAGCAUCAUCUUAAGAAUGCAAAGAGUGCUUGUGUAAUUUGAUAGAUCCUUUUGUUGAAUUGUGUUUCUAGCCUUUUAACUUUCCUUUUUUUUAGCAAAAAUCAUGUUGAUGAUCAAACACACUUUUCUCAUUUAAUGGUAUCUUGGCAACCCCUCCCUCUUCUUCUU